UACGAAGGGGGCUAGCGUUGUUCGGAUUUACUGGGCGUAAAGCGCGCGUAGGCGGCUAUUUAAGUCAGAGGUGAAAUCCCAGGGCUCAACCCUGGAACUGCCUUGGAUACUGGAUGUCUAGAGUAUGGAAGAGGUGAGUGGAAUUCCGAGUGUAGAGGUGGAAUUCGUAGAUAUUCGGAGGAACACCAGUGGCGAAGGCGGCUCCCUGGUCCAUUACUGACGCUGAGGCGCGAAAGCGUGGGGAGCAAACAGG
rnacentral:rRNA from 1 species